rnacentral:rRNA from 1 species
AUCGNCCCCCAGGNCGAGUUGUAAUUUGUAGAUUGUAUCUUGAGAGCGGAUUAAAGUCUGUUGGAACACAGCGCCUUAGAGGGUGACAGCCCCGUAAAAUCUAUUCUCAUUGUAAGAUACUUUCGAAGAGUCGAGUUGUUUGGGAAUGCAGCUCUAAGUGGGAGGUAAAUUCCUUCUAAAGCUAAAUAUUGACGAGAGACCGAUAGCGAACAAGUACUGUGAAGGAAAGAUGAAAAGCACUUUGAAAAGAGAGUGAAAAAGUACGUGAAAUUGUUAAAAGGGAAGGGUAUUGAAUCAGACUUGGUGCUGUUGUUCAACYRUGUUUYGGCANGGUGUACUCAGCAGUACUAGGCCAAGGUGGGGUGUUUGGGAGUGAAAAAGAAGUWGGAACGUAACUCUUCGGAGUGUUAUAGCCUACUUUCAUAGCUCCUCAGGCGCCUCAGGACUGCGCUUCGGCAAGGACCUUGGCAUAAUGAUUCUAUACCGCCCGUCUUG